rnacentral:rRNA from 1 species
GUCGAACGAGAAAGUGGAGCAAUCCAUGAGUACAGUGGCGUACGGGUGAGUAACACGUGGGUAAUCUACCCUUUGGUGGGGAAUAACUCUGGGAAACCGGAGCUAAUACCGCAUAAUCCCGAGAGGGAAAAGCAGCAAUGCGCCGAAGGAGGAGCCCGCGGCCGAUUAGCUAGUUGGUAGGGUAACAGCCUACCAAGGCAAAGAUCGGUAGCCGGCCUGAGAGGGCACACGGCCACACUGGCACUGAAACACGGGCCAGACUCCUACGGGAGGCAGCAGUGGGGAAUCUUGCACAAUGGGGGAAACCCUGAUGCAGCGACGCCGCGUGAGCGAUGAAGCCCUUCGGGGUGUAAAGCUCUUUCGGCAGGGAAGAUUAUGACGGUACCUGCAGAAGCAGCUGCGGCUAACUACGUGCCAGCAGCCGCGGUAAUACGUAGGCAGCAAGCGUUGUUCGGAGUUACUGGGCGUAAAGGGUGUGUAGGCGGCUUUUUAAGUUUGGUGUGAAAUCUCCCGGCUCAACCGGGAGGGUGCGCCGAAUACUGAGAGGCUAGAGUGCGGGAGAGGAAAGUGGAAUUCCUGGUGUAGCGGUGAAAUGCGUAGAUAUCAGGAGGAACACCGGUGGUGUAGACGGCUUUCUGGACCGUAACUGACGCUGAAACACGAAAGCGUGGGUAGCAAACAGGAUUAGAUACCCUG